rnacentral:rRNA from 1 species
GAUCAUGGCUCAGAUUGAACGCUGGCGGCAUGCUUUACACAUGCAAGUCGAACGGCAGCAUGAGGAGCUUGCUCCUUGGUGGCGAGUGGCGCACGGGUGAGUAAGACAUCGGAACGUGUCCUUUUGUGGGGGGAUAACUGUCCGAAAGGACAGCUAAUACCGCAUAAGACCUGAGGGUGAAAGCGGGGGAUCGCAAGACCUCGCGCGAAAGGAGCGGCCGAUGGCCGAUUAG